rnacentral:rRNA from 1 species
GACGAACGCUGGCGGCGUGCUUAACACAUGCAAGUCGAACGAAGAGCGAUGGAAGCUUGCUUCUAUCACUCUUAGUGGCGAACGGGUGAGUAACGCGUAAUCAACCUGCCCUUCAGAGGGGGACAACAGUUGGAAACGACUGCUAAUACCGCAUACGAUCUAAUCUCGGCAUCGAGGAUAGAUGAAAGGUGGCCUCUACAUGUAAGCUAUCACUGAAGGAGGGGAUUGCGUCUGCUUAGCUAGUUGGAGGGGUAACGGCCCACCAAGGCGAUGAUCAGUAGCCGGUCUGAGAGGAUGAACGGCCACAUUGGGACUGAGACACGGCCCAGACUCCUACGGGAGGCAGCAGUGGGGAAUCUUCCGCAAUGGACGAAAGUCUGACGGAGCAACGCCGCGUGAGUGAUGACGGCCUUCGGGUUGUAAAGCUCUGUUAAACGGAACGAAAGGCCUUCUUGCGAAUAGUGAGAAGGAUUGACGGUACCGGAAUAGAAAGCCACGGCUAACUACGUG